UACGUAGGUGGCAAGCGUUACUCGGAAUUACUAGGCGUAAAGGGCAGGUAGGCGGUUCGGUUAGUCUGUUGUGAAAGCUCCUUGCUUAACGGGGAGAGGCCAACAGAUACUGCCGAGCUUGAGUAUAGGAGAGGGUACUGGAAUUCCCGGUGUAGCGGUGAAAUGCGCAGAGAUCGGGAGGAACACCAAUGGCGAAAGCAGGUACCUGGACUAUUACUGACGCUCAGCUGCGAAAGCUAGGGGAGCAAACAGG
rnacentral:rRNA from 1 species